rnacentral:lncRNA from 1 species
UUUUCAAGCAUACAAAAUUUAUAGCUACUUCUUGAUUUCAAAUAACUCAAGAAGCAAGAACAAAUUCACAACUCUUCAUAUGGCUUAUGAGUGAACAAUCUUGCUACUACAUCAUUUGUGAUUUCGUCACUUUAUUUGCUUAACACACUAUCCUAUAUAAGCUAGUUUUUUAGGGUUCUAUAUAAGCUAGUUGGUACCCAUUUGUUCGUUAUUAUAGAUGGUUGGAGCCGGUUUUAUGCAUAACCUGCACAGGCACCCAUCAGGAGUACACUCGCUUUUUUUGGCUUGCCUUGUACGUUUCACACAUUCAUUUUCACAAGUUUUUCUAUUACAUGGCUUUGUCGAUGGGAGAAUUUUGUCCACACAUGUGAAGAGUUUCAUGCUAUCAUCCAUUGAUGCAUCCACUACCACAUCUGCAAAAUUUCAUGAUUAAGAAUAGGGAUUGUCACAACAAGACCAUUAUUUGUUGGGAGACAUUCUGAACAAAUGCAUCACAUGAACAAAUGAGUACCUGAUGCUAACAUGAGAAAUAGGAAGGACAGAAGCAACAUCCGGGUAGUCCUCAUUUGAACUAGUGUUUGUGUUAAAGGAGCGAAUUGCAGAUUGUUGUGUGAUAUGCAAGUUCU